rnacentral:lncRNA from 1 species
GGCUGAUAUCAUCAUAUGAUUGGUCCAACAAUGAACAAUUGGUUCCAUUUUCAAUUUCUCCCCCACACCUCCAAAUUCCAAUAACGUCCCCAUUUGUGUCACAGCCCAACUCACUCAAAAGUGUCCUUAUAUAUACACACACAUUAUGCACAUAUGUAUAUUCAUAUAGACAUGCAUAUAUACAAACAGUGAAGAUUGAAGGAGAAAUUUAUAUAUGAGAGCUGCAGCAGCUACUCAAUUCUUGUUGAAUUUGAAUCCAAACCUGAAAAAGACGAACGUGAUUCAUUGUUAUACGAUGUCUGCAUCAAAUCAAGAUUCAUUUUUUGAGCAGCCAAGAUUGGUUACCAAGAAAAUCUUGGCAAAACCUCAAAGUGAAGGUGUUGGUGCUGUAGUUAGAAGAAGCAUUGGAAGGUAUUAUCAAAUCUUAC